CUAUGAUUCUAUUAUACUACAUGAAGAACAGUGAGCUAUGGAGAUAGACUGUUUACAGUGAACCACAAUCCAAACUGUACCUCAAAGCUUCCAUAGCAGACAAAGGAGAGUAUCCUUUUGUUUGGUUUGUUUCCAGGUUGUGUGGGCUGUUCAUUGAGAGAGCACCGAAGUGGAUCAGACCCUGCAGGGCAGAGCUGAGGCUGUUUCUGGAAAGUCUGUGGAGACCAUAAGCUUGAGGGUAGCAGCAAAGGACUGGAGUCUGCAGUUCACAGGGAGAAAGUACUGGAAGAAGAGGGACAGAGAAAACCUACACCUGAAAGAAUCAGGCCAGAAAAGAAGACGACCAUUCACUUGCAACAUAGUAUGUCCAGGCCCCAUACUAGCGUGAAGACCAUGGAACAUGCUGCAAAUCUUGGCUGGACUGUCCUACCAUAUCCACUGUUUGGUCCAGAUUUGGCACAUUCUGAAUUCUGUUUGGGCUGUGGGGGCAACAUUUUCCUAGUAACAUCAUCAUCAUAGUAGCUGUGAUGUGAAACUGUGGGUUACCCACUGAUGCAGAUGAUUAUAAGUGCAGCAUGCAGGCUUUUGUUCAUCACUCAUGAAAAUACAUUGCUGAUGGUGGUGACUGUAUUGAAAAAUAGUGCUUUGUAGCAGAGAAUUUGCUCUGUCAAAUACUAUUAUUGUACUCUUUGUAGUUUCCUUAGAAAUAAAAUAGGAGGAUUUACUUUUGGAGCAGCCUAUAUAGAAGUAGAAUCAAGCUCAAAGCUUUAUUAAUAUUAUUAUUAUUAUUUAUUUUUCUUAUGGAACAUCCAUUAUAUGGAUUACAUCUAAUACCACAGUCACAUAUUCAGAGAAAAACACAUUUCAAGCAUAUUUGGACUAAAUUUCUGGUCCUACUUUAGCAUACGAUAUUCAGCAGAGCAGUUUUUAUCAAAUUUGCAGGAUUUACCUCCUAUUUUAUUUUAUUUGACAAAUAACAUAAAGCAAUUUUUCUAAACAUAUAGGGGAGAUGAAGGGGAAAAAAACACACUUUUACAUAAAAUCAUGUGUUUUGUUCAUUCCUCUGUAAUCUGUUCAGGUAAACUGGAUUUUGAAGUCCUGCAAAAAUGUUGUUAAUGGAAGUCUGAUGUGCUUUGUGGAAUUAGACACACCUGGUUUUGUCGUUUCUGAGCUCAUGCAUAGUACAGUGACAUGUGGUAUGAAUGUAUUGAACAGAACCAUAGGAACAUAACUAUAAAAAUCAGAGGAGAGCUGCCUAUACCUCUUGUCUCCCUUCUGUUAGUAAAGAAUUUUUCUGAUCAGACUUCCAGCCUGUUCCUUAGUCACCGAUUCCACAAAGAUUCGUUUUGGAAGGCAUAUUUUUUCUGCAGUUGCAGCUAACAUCUUCAUUCUUCUACUUCCCAGUACUUUGUUGGUAACUUUCAUAUCAGCACAACUUUCAAGGGCCUUGCAUCUCUUCCUGGCCAGUGGAAGUACAGACAGCCUGUGCUGUGUCACUCUCUGGGUUCCUUGGUGGUCCCCGCUGUGCUGUAGAACCUUGCUAAUCAAUGUCUAAGCAAUAUCUGGAUGAAGAUCCGUGACACAGUGUCCCUCAGUGAUUUCUGUCAUCUCCUCAGGUCCAAGCUUUGUUCUUCACAUUCAACUCACCUUUUUUUUUUUUUUUUUUUUUUUCCAAAACAGUAAUUUAUUUAGCAAGUGACUGACUAGUUUUCAGUGUAGGUAGGUUUCAUAUUGCAGAAAAUGACUUGAUACAAUAGGCAGUCUGUAUGUUUCUAACCCUAUCAGCAUUUUCCAGGCCCUGUCUUGUUGUGGCUGAUCUAUGAAAUGCUGCAAUAGCAGAAGGCUCAGAGGAGAUAGGAAGGGUAACAUGCUCAUGAAGCUCAAGGAGAAAUGUAGGGAAUGAUCAUGGGUGUCACAAAGAAAGACAAAUUUAACACAAGGGGGACGGGUGCAUUGUUUUUUCUUCUAGAUAAAUGGCUGCAUUAUUUGAGUGCAUCAGUCAGCUUUACUGGCAGACGUGAUCAACUGGCCUUAUCAGCUGAAGGGGUCAACCAUUUGUACAACUGUUGGCUGUUUCGUUAACCAAAAUAGUAAUUCUGACAGACAAAAAAGAACUUUCAACAGAGCAGCAGACUUGACCUGGAUUCAACCACAUUACUCCUUUCCAGCAGCAGAGGGUGCUCAGCGUCAUGAUGAUGAGCAUGUUAUAGGGAAUUACACCAGUAGUGUGAAUCCACUGUAUAUUGUAAUCGCUACACUCUGGUAAUUUGCGCUUGUAUUGUGAUUUGAGUAUGUUGCUGUUAUCAUCCUGCAAAAUCGAAAUGACAUAUGACAUCAAAACAGCUUCUAAUAAUUUAACUUGGUGUUAAACAUUAAACCCUUCAUGUGUAGAAUAUCUAAAGCAAAUUUGUUAUAGAAUGUUAGACUCUGACACGGUUUUGUUAGACCUGUGAUUCAAUGCAAGUGUCUGCUCUUCAUGCAGGUCGACUCAGCUUUUUAUGCCUAUUGAAUGUGGAAAUUUCUUCAGGAACAAGCACUCCAUACAACCAUGUAGGAAGCAUUUGGAUGAAACCCCAGACAACAUAACUGAAAAUGUCAGGUGAAUGCAUCAGCAUUUCGCAGCUAUCUUCUACUAUGAAGGUAUCUUCAUGUUUAAACAGACACUUUUGUCAUUUAAAACUCUGGUAACUUUCAGAGCCCAAACUCUGCUUUGGAUGGACAACCUUAUGAAAAUUCAGGAAAAAUCUUACUGAAGAGAACCACAGAUUUGCAUGCAAAAAUCAAGUGACUUGAUACAGUCAGAACUAUGUAAACAUCUAUCACACCAUACUUUUCAGUGUAAUAUGCUGUUUUGACCAAAGCCAUAGUAGAAGCUUUCCUCUACCUUAUCUUCCAGCCGUGAAGACAGAGACACAAUCAGCCAACUGUAUGUCCAUGUGCUGCUUUCAAUUUUUUUGUGAGCAUUAUUACACUGUUGAUCAUGAUGAUCAUGAACUGACAGCUGAGAGAAACUUACAUGAUAAAAUAUCUUAGCAAAGCAGUUUUCAUUCAAGCUCAUCUUGAAGACUUAGACUGAGAAGGGAGGCGUUCAAGAGCCAUUUAGAAGUUGUGCUGAGGGACAUGGUUUAGUGGGGAAGUAUUGGUGGUAGGUGGAUGGUUGGACUGGAUGGUCUUGGAGGUCUUUUCCAACCCUGGUGAUUCUGUGAUUCUGUAACUCCCUGAAAUAAGGCUGUGGUGAGGUGGGGAUCAGCCUCUUCUCUCAGGUAACAGUGACAGGACAAGUUAGAUAACCUGAACCUCCCCUGGAGCAAUUUGAGCUGGGUGUUAGGAAAAAUGAAAAGUUUAUUAUUGGAAAGAGUGGUCAGGCAUUGGAACAGGCUGCCCGGGGAGGAGGUGGACUCACUGUCCCUGGAGGUGUUCAGGAAAUGUGAAGAUGUGGCACUUAAGGAUGUGGUUUAUGGCCAGUAUUGGUGGUAGGUGAAUGGUUGGACUAGGUAAUCUUAAAGGUCUUUUCCAACCUUAAUGAUUCUAUGAUUCUAUGAUUCUAUUCUGUGAAGCCUAUUAGUAAUACUAUUUAUUUUAUGUAUUUGUUAAAUUGAAGUCCUAUGUCAAUGCACAAAAUGAUACCCAUACUUCUUCAUUACAGACCUGGUCUGGACAGUUUACAGGAGAGUAUAUUCUCAAGAGUGUUAUCCAGAAUGGAAAAAAAUACAUAUACUGUGUGUGCACUGUCUGGCAAGUCUUCCUCUCUUCCUUAUAACAGCUCUAAGGGCCCCUUUCAAAUCCUGCAGGUAGGGAAAUGUAAAUUAUUGCUGUUUAAACAGAAGAAGUGUAAUUCCUUAGAUUUCUAAGUUACAUACAACACUAUAAGAUUUAGAGUGAGGUCCAGAUACAGAAGCCAAUCUGUGAUUUCAUACAGAGAGCUUUUAGUACUGACACUUAUUAAAAUAGACCCCAGGAGUGGAGAUAAGGUUGUAUGCACAUCUUCUCCUUGAAACAGAACAAAUAUUACAACAAUUUAUGUAGAAAAUGAAAUUGUCAGUCAAUCAUUCAUGCAAUUGUUUUAUGUUCUGUAAUGUCUUUCUCUUAGAUUAAUGCCAAAAGAACACUAAUGAGAUGUAUCUAAAGCAAACUACGAAGAAGAACAUAAGAUAGAGGGAAUAGAGAAAGGCGCAUCAAAAAGUAGGUUUGUGGCUUCAGAUCUCUGGCUUUCUUGGGUGUCUUUCAGCCGUAAGCUCAAAAUAAAAUUAAUUGCUGGCAUGCAUGUGUUUACUGGGAAAAAAAUGAGCAGAAGAUUUAUGUAUAUGGGGCCAGCCAGUUCACACAUAGUUGAAUUCACAUGUUUCUGAGUAUUCUUUUUCCAAGAGGAGUGAAUCAUUUUGAUAAAUCUUUCACAAAUCUAGCACAAAUUGUUGCCAGUUUAGUUGCUUUUGUAUGCAAAGCUGAGUGAAAAAAAUGGGUCUCUUGAUCUGUAAGAAAUCAGCUAUAUGUUGAUUAUACAGGACAUGGAAAUUCCCCUCAAUCCAGUAAAACUGAUGUCCACAAGAAACCCCUGGAAUUCUCUACACCAGGGUAGGGCCCAAUAGAAAAUGGCUGAAAAUAGGUGGAUGAUCUCAGAGGUCUUUAUCAACCUUAGUGAAUCUAUGAUUCUAUGAUUCUAAAAUAGAAACAGAGUUGAGAAAAUAUAAGAAAGGAAGCCAUUACCCUAAACAGUGACAUGAGUUCACUGCCUAUGAGAUCUAACACAUUUGUGUCACACUGGCUUUAAGUACAGAUCUUCAGCCACUUGGCUCAUGAAUAAUUUCAUCGGAAUGGAAUCCAGGACUUAUACAGAAAAUAAACUUUUCUGAGGAGUAAUGGGUUUGUUUGUGGUACUGCUUUUGGUAUACACAGGGACAAUGAAGAAAUCUCCUGAAUGAUAGUCAUAAAUGGUUUCAAAAGCCUAACAGGGCAGACAGAUUGCUAAUCAGAUUGCAAAGUGUACUGAACAAAAGGAGGGAGAAAUUGUAAAGGCAAACCAGAAGAAAGCUUGAGUGGACUGAAAAGCCUGGAAGGAAGAGAGCAAUGGUUUGAAUUGCAUUUGAAAUGAAAGGGGAAGUGAUUGAUAUAGAAAGAUGUGAAGGGAAGCUGGCCAUGAUGACAUCAAUUAAGCAUUUAUUUCUGUGGAAGUAUUGUCAAAUGGCAUAAUUUAAUGGUGUGCCCUUCUGCUGAGGAGAUAAUUUGAUGCUUGUGUUAGAUGAUAUUUGUUUGUCUGUAUUUUACUAGGCAUGGUUAAUCAUAGCUGAUUUACAAUUAGUUUUAUGAGCCCUUCGCAAGGGGUUGGGUGUUGUAUUUGCAUGUGCUUGUACCUUUCCUGACUAUUCAGGGUUGAGUAAUGCAUAUGCAGUGCAGGAUGGGAUCUAUAUGGAAUGCGAAGGACAUGCAGCAGUAGGAAGUAUGCAGUGUGAGAAGGAACUCAACAGAAGUAACUCCUGUGAAGGAGCACAUGCUAGCACUAGAGUUAUUCUAAUAAUAGAACAAAAACAUAAGAAUAAAUCUAGAAUACAAGCUAUGCCCCUAUGGAUUCAGCCCUUCUUACAUCCCAGCUUCAGUAUCUUUGACAUUAACAUAACGGACAAAAGCGAGCAACCAAAUUUCAUACCUCUGUGCUGCUCUUUGGAAGGAAGCAAUUGUGCUUCUGCACGGAUCUCUGUUGAACAACAGAGGAUUUGCUGGUAAACACUGUUGUAAAUAUAUAAUUGAAUUGCUUUCGGUGACUGCUUCAAAAGCAAUAUAUGCCUUCAGCUCUGAGAAUAAAAUGCUGUUGCAAAAUAGUCUAAUAAAAUGUGUGGCUUCACUGUGAUUCUUGUCGCUUUUGUGUGUUCUACUGGGAUUAUUUUUAAAGAGUGAAACUUCAUUACAUUUAUUAGCUCUUCAGCAAAGUAACAACAGUAAUUACAAAGUCCUUCUUAAGUUAGCAUGUUAUUCUGAUUAUAUGUGGUAAACCUGC
ensembl:lncRNA